CCUGGACACCGGACACCUACCCAACCCUGUCCCCUACAGAUCUACCCAACCCUGUCCCCUGGACACCUACCCAACCUAUAAUAAAGGUCUGGGUCAGCCAAUAAAGGUCAGCCAUUAAAGGUCAGCCAAUAAAGGUCAGGGUCAGCCAUUAAAGGUCAGCCAUUAAAGGUCAGCCAUUAAAGGUCAGCCAUUCAAGGUCAGCCAAUGACUAAAUAGGAAAUAUGGUGGCAUUUGGAACUCAUACCCUAAAGUACAUGAACUAGCCGAUACAGUAUAUAUGAACAUUUAGAGAGAGAGAGAGAGAGACAGAGAGAGAGAGAGACAGAGAGAGCGAGAGAGAGAGACAGAGAGAGAGAGAGAGAGAGAGAGAGACAGAGAGAGAGAGAGAGAGAGACAGAGAGAGAGAGAGAGAGAGAGAGAGACAGAGAGAGA
rnacentral:lncRNA from 1 species